rnacentral:rRNA from 1 species
AGAUAGAAAUUCCCUUCGGGGCUUUCUGCAAGGUGCUGCAUGGUUGUCGUCAGCUCGUGCCGUGAGGUGUCGGGUUAAGUCCCAUAACGAGCGCAACCCUUAUCGUUAGUUGCCAUCUGGUAAUGCAGGGGACUCUAGCGAAACUGCCACCGUAAGGUGAGAGGAAGGUGGGGAUGACGUCAAAUCAGCACGGCCCUUAUGUCCAGGGCUACACACGUGUUACAAUGGUCGGUACAGAGGGUUGCCAACCCGCGAGGGGGAGCUAAUCCCACAAAGCCGAUCGUAGUCCGGAUCGCAGUCUGCAACUCGACUGCGUGAAGUCGGAAUCGCUAGUAAUCGUGGAUCAGCAUGUCACGGUGAAUACGUUCCCGGGUCUU